AGUGAACGCUGGCGGUAGGCCUAAUACAUGCAAGUCGAACGGCAGCACAGUAAGAGCUUGCCCUUACGGGUGGCGAGUGGCGGACGGGUGAGGCAUAGAUCGGAAUCUUCUUUUUCGUGGGGGAUAACGUAGGGAAACUUACGCUAAUACCGAAUACGAACUACGGGUGAAAUCAGGAGAUCUUCGGACUUUUCGCGACUCUAUGAGACGGAGUCGGAUUAGCUAGUUGGGGGGGUAAAGGCCCACCAAGGCGACGAUCCGUAGCUGGUCUGAGAGGAUGAUCAGCCACACUGGAACUGAGACACGGUCCAGACUCCUACGGGAGGCAGCAGUGGGGAAUAUUGGACAAUGGGCGAAAGCCUGAUCCAGCCAUGCCGCGUGAGUGAAGAAGGCCUUCGGGUUGUAAAGCCCUUUUGUUAGGAAAGAAAAGAUGCAGAUUAAUACCCCGCUGUUCUGACGGUACCCAAAGAGUAAGCACCGGCUAACUUCGUG
rnacentral:rRNA from 1 species